rnacentral:rRNA from 1 species
CUCAGUAACGGCGAGUGAAGCGGUAACAGCUCAAAUUUGAAAUCUGGGUCUUUCAGGCUCCGAGUUGUAAUUUGUAGAAGAUGCUUUGGGUGCGGCCCCGGUCUAAGUUCCUUGGAACAGGACGUCAUAGAGGGUGAGAAUCCCGUAUGUGAUCGGUGGCCUGCGCCCGUGUAAAGCUCUUUCGACGAGUCGGGUUGUUUGGGAAUGCAGCUCUAAAUGGGUGGUAAAUUUCAUCUAAAGCUAAAUACUGGCCAGAGACCGAUAGCGCACAAGUAGAGUGAUCGAAAGAUGAAAAGGACUUUGGAAAGAGAGUUAAACAGUACGUGAAAUUGUUGAAAGGGAAGCGCUUGCAACCAGACUUGCGCGGGGUUGAUCAUCCGGGGUUCUCCCCGGUGCACUCGGCCUCGCUCAGGCCAGCAUCGGUUUCGGUGGUUGGAUAAAGGCCUUGGGAAUGUGGCUCCUCUCGGGGAGUGUUAUAGCCCUCGGUGCAAUGCAGCCUACUGGGACCGAGGACCGCGCUUCGGCUAGGAUGCUGGCGUAAUGGUUGUAAGCGACCCGUCUUGAAACACGGACCAAGGAGUCUAACAUCUAUGCGAGUGUUUGGGUGUCAAACCCAUACGCGUAAUGAAAGUGAACGGAGGUGAGAACCCUUAAGGGUGCAUCAUCGACCGAUCCUGAUGUCUUCGGAUGGAUUUGAGUAGGAGCAUAGCUGUUGGGACCCGAAAGAUGGUGAACUAUGCCUGAAUAGGGUGAAGCCAGAGGAAACUCUGGUGGAGGCUCGCAGCGGUUCUGACGUGCAAAUCGAUCGUCAAAUUUGGGUAUAGGGGCGAAAGACUAAUCGAACCAUCUAGUAGCUGGUU